ACACGUGGGCAACCUGCCUAUAAGACUGGGAUAACUUCGGGAAACCGGAGCUAAUACCGGAUACGUUCUUUUCUCGCAUGAGAGAAGAUGGAAAGACGGUUUACGCUGUCACUUAUAGAUGGGCCCGCGGCGCAUUAGCUAGUUGGUGAGGUAAUGGCUCACCAAGGCGACGAUGCGUAGCCGACCUGAGAGGGUGAUCGGCCACACUGGGACUGAGACACGGCCCAGACUCCUACGGGAGGCAGCAGUAGGGAAUCUUCCGCAAUGGACGAAAGUCUGACGGAGCAACGCCGCGUGAACGAAGAAGGCCUUCGGGUCGUAAAGUUCUGUUGUUAGGGAAGAACAAGUACCAGAGUAACUGCUGGUACCUUGACGGUACCUAACCAGAAAGCCACGGCUAACUACGUGCCAGCAGCCGCGGUAAUACGUAGGUGGCAAGCGUUGUCCGGAAUUAUUGGGCGUAAAGCGCGCGCAGGUGGUUCCUUAAGUCUGAUGUGAAAGCCCACGGCUCAACCGUGGAGGGUCAUUGGAAACUGGGGAA
rnacentral:rRNA from 2 species